UAAUAAGCGGAGGAUAAGAAACUAAAUAGGAUUCCCUUAGUAAUGGCGAAUGAACAGGGAUGAGCUCAACAUGGAAAUUUUGGCUUCUGGCCACGAAUUGUAAUCUCUCGACGCGCUGCCAACAGGGGCGUAGAUGUAAGCCGCUUGGAAAAGCGAAUCACUGAGGGUGAGAAUCCUGUUUGUCAUCUGCAGACCUCUGUGUACGGCACACGUUCUAAGAGUCACGUUCCUUGGGAUUGGAGCGCAAAUUGGGUGGUAAAUUUCAUCUAAAGCUAAAUAUGGGUUCGAGACCGAUAGCAAACAAGUACCAUGAGGGAAAGAUGAAAAGGACUUUGAAAAGAGAGUUAAAAGUGCCUGAACUUGCUGAAAGGAAAGCGGAUGGAACCAGUUUUGCUUGGUGAGAUUGUUGCACGCAGCAAUGACCACCUUCUAUUCCAGCGCAAGCGGGGUGGUGGGCUGUGAUUUGUUCGGGUGUGAUGUUUCUUGCCUUGUGUGUCAUCAUCAGUUUGGCGGUGGGGACAACUCUUGGGACCUGGUAGCUUGCCUCUGGGUGAGUGAAUGUGCCUUGCAGGACCCACCAACAAACUGUUCAUCAUUUGUGGGGCUGCGUUGCAUCGUGGUGUGUGCUCUUGCGAGCUUCACACGCGUGGCACCUUCCUUACAAGCAAAUGGUGACGAAAUGGUUCUAUUCGACC
rnacentral:rRNA from 1 species